rnacentral:rRNA from 1 species
UACGUAGGCCCCAAGCGUUAUCCGGAAUUACUGGGCGUAAAGUGCGCGUAGGCGUUUUUGUAAGUCGGUCGUUAAAUCUUACAGCUUAACUGUGAGACCGCGAGCGAUACUACAAGAAUUGAGUUUUGCAGGGGCUAGCAGAAUUCCUGGUGUAGCGGUGGAAUGCGCAGAUAUCAGGAGGAACACCAAUAGCGAAGGCAGCUCGCUGGGACGGUACUGACGCUAAGGCGCGAAAGCGUGGGGAGCGAACAGG